GGGCUGGUGGUGCAGUCGGUAGCACACCCCUGCGGCGACUUCUCGUCGUCUGCGGUCGGAGGUCCCAGGUUCGAGUCCUGGCCAGUCUG